rnacentral:rRNA from 1 species
AAUGGGCGCAAGCCUGAUCCAGCCAUACCGCGUGUGUGAAGAAGGCCUUCGGGUUGUAAAGCACUUUAAGCAGGGAGAAAAAGCAAUAAGUUAAUACCUUAUUGCCGUGAUGUUACCUGCAGAAUAAGCACCGGCUAAUUCCGUGCCAGCAGCCGCGGUAAUACGGAAGGUGCAAGCGUUAAUCGGAAUUACUGGGCGUAAAGCGCGCGUAGGUGGUUUGUUAAGUUGGAUGUGAAAGCCCUGGGCUCAACCUAGGAACUGCAUCCAAAACUAACUCACUAGAGUACGAUAGAGGGAGGUAGAAUUCAUAGUGUAGCGGUGGAAUGCGUAGAUAUUAUGAAGAAUACCAGUGGCGAAGGCGGCCUCCUGGAUCUGUACUGACACUAAGGUGCGAAAGCGUGGGUAGCGAACAGGAUU